UACGGAGGUGGCUAGCGUUGUUCGGAAUUACUGGGCGUAAAGCGCACGUAGGCGGACUGGAAAGUCAGAGGUGAAAUCCCAGGGCUCAACCUUGGAACUGCCUUUGAAACUCCCGGUCUUGAGGUCGAGAGAGGUGAGUGGAAUUCCGAGUGUAGAGGUGGAAUUCGUAGAUAUUCGGAGGAACACAAGUGGCGAAGGCGGCUCACUGGCUCGAUACUGACGCUGAGGUGCGAAAGCGUGGGGAGCAAACAGG
rnacentral:rRNA from 1 species